UGGGUUUUCACGAGUCGCCCA
rnacentral:siRNA from 1 species